CAGGAAGUGAGGAAAAAGUCCAUCCUUCUCCUUUACUGGAUGAUACAAGUGGAGAAAAGCUGCCAUGAACCUUGCUUUUCCUGUGUGAAAGGAGUUGAAUCAAUCAAAGACCUGCCAGGAGGAAGGAAAGAAGACAACCUCUUCUGAAUGGGAAAGAAAUCUACCUCAAUGUAUCUUUUAAAAUCAGCUGAACUGGAGCCUAACCUAAUUGACUGUUCGAUGGUCUAUGGAGCUACUCUGCCUAUGGCUACUGUUCCUGCCCUCAUGACUGGGAAGCAAUCAAGUAUCUGCUGACACACUUACAACACAAACAGUGCUCUUCUUUUGAAAGUUCACAAAUGUGUCUUCAAAAAAGUUUGAGAUACUAUUCUGGCAUGGACUAUGGAAUGAAGACGAGUGUGCCACAUACUACAGGGCACAAGUCAGUUCAAGUGGCGGCUGAG
rnacentral:lncRNA from 1 species